rnacentral:rRNA from 1 species
UACGUAGGGGGCGAGCGUUGUCCGGAAUCACUGGGCUUAAAGGGCGCGUAGGCGGGCAGGCAAGUCGAAGGUGAAAUCCCACGGCUCAACCGUGGAAGUGCCCCCGAUACUGCCUGUCUGGAGGGAGAUAGGGGCGUGCGGAACUCCGGUGGAGCGGUGAAAUGCGCAGAUAUCAGGAGGAACACCAGUGGCGAAGGCGCCGCUCUGGGCCGUGACUGACGCUGAGGAGCGAAAGCGUGGGUAGCAAACAGG